CAUUUAAAGAAAGCGUAAUAGCUCACUGAUCGAGUCGUCCUGCGCGGAAGAUGUAACGGGGCUAAGCCAGUCACCGAAGCUGCGGAUAUUUUUCUUGAUGCUUGCAUCGAGAUCGAUAUGGUAGGAGAGCGUUCUGUAAGCCUGCGAAGGUGUCUUGUAAAGGAUGCUGGAGGUAUCAGAAGUGCGAAUGCUGACAUGAGUAGCGAUAAUGCGGGUGAAAAGCCCGCACGCCGUAAGCCCAAGGUUUCCUGUUCAACGUUCAUCGGAGCAGGGUGAGUCGGCCCCUAAGGCGAGGCAGAGAUGCGUAGCUGAUGGGAAGCAGGUUAAUAUUCCUGCACCGUCGUAUGAUGCGAUGGGGGGACGGAUCGCGGAAGGUUGUCUAGCUGUUGGAAUAGCUAGUUUUUGACUCAUAGAAGGUGCUUAGGCAAAUCCGGGCACAGGAUUCAAGGGGUCGAGACGAGCGCUCAUGUAGCGCGAAGCAAUCGGAAGUGGUUCCAAGAAAAGCCUCUAAGCUUCAGUCAUACGAGACCGUACCGCAAACCGACACAGGUGGGCGAGAUGAGUAUUCUAAGGCGCUUGAGAGAACUCGGGAGAAGGAACUCGGCAAAUUGGUACCGUAACUUCGGGAAAAGGUACGCCCCGGUAGCUUGACCACUUUACUGUGGAAGGGCGAAAGGGUUGCAAUAAACUGGUGGCUGCGACUGUUUAAUAAAAACACAGCACUCUGCAAACACGAAAGUGGACGUAUAGGGUGUGACGCCUGCCCGGUGCUGGAAGAUUAAAUGAUGGGGUGCAAGCUCUUGAUUGAAGUCCCAGUAAACGGCGGCCGUAACUAUAACGGUCCUAAGGUAGCGAAAUUCCUUGUCGGGUAAGUUCCGACCUGCACGAAUGGCGUAACGAUGGCGGCGCUGUCUCCACCCGAGACUCAGUGAAAUUGAAAUCGCUGUGAAGAUGCAGUGUAUCCGCGGCUAGACGGAAAGACCCCGUGAACCUUUACUGCAGCUUGACACUGAACUUUGACCUUACUUGUGUAGGAUAGGUGGGAGGCUUUGAAGUAGGGACGCCAGUUCCUAUGGAGCCAUCCUUGAAAUACCACCCUGGUUUGUUUGAGGUUCUAACCUUGGUCCGUUAUCCGGAUCGGGGACAGUGCAUGGUAGGCAGUUUGACUGGGGCGGUCUCCUCCUAAAGAGUAACGGAGGAGUACGAAGGUGCGCUCAGCGUGGUCGGAAAUCACGCGUAGAGUAUAAAGGCAAAAGCGCGCUUAACUGCGAGACCCACAAGUCGAGCAGGUACGAAAGUAGGUCUUAGUGAUCCGGUGGUUCUGUAUGGAAGGGCCAUCGCUCAACGGAUAAAAGGUACUCUGGGGAUAACAGGCUGAUUCCUCCCAAGAGUUCAUAUCGACGGGGGAGUUUGGCACCUCGAUGUCGGCUCAUCACAUCCUGGGGCUGUAGCCGGUCCCAAGGGUAUGGCUGUUCGCCAUUUAAAGUGGUACGUGAGCUGGGUUUAAAACGUCGUGAGACAGUUUGGUCCCUAUCUGCCGUGGGCGUUGGAAAUUUGAAGGGGGCUGCUCCUAGUACGAGAGGACCGGAGUGGACGAACCUCUGGUGUACC
rnacentral:rRNA from 1 species